UAACAUGACAACACAUUUUUAUCGAGUUUUGUUGAGAUUUUCACAUUAUGAGAAGAGUAGUAUUAACUACAGUCCAG